AACGUACGCUGGCGGCACGCCUAACACAUGCAAGUCGAACGAAGUAGCAAUACUUAGUGGCAGACGGGUGAGUAACAUGUAGGUAUCUGCCCUUUGGCCUGGAAUAACACGAGGAAACUUGUGCUAAUACCGGAUAAGUCUUUACGGAGAAAGCUUUAUGCACCAUUGGAUGAGCCUGCACUUGAUUAGUUUGUUGGUGGGGUAAUGGCCUACCAAGACUGUGAUCAAUAGCUGAUUUGAGAGGAUGAUCAGCCACAUUGGGACUGAGACACGGCCCAAACUCCUACGGGAGGCAGCAGUGGGGAAUCUUGCACAAUGGAGGAAACUCUGAUGCAGCGAUGCCGCGUGAGUGAAGAAGGCCCUUGGGUUGUAAAGCUCUUUCGUCGGGGAAGAAAAUGACUGUACCCGAAUAAGAAGGUCCGGCUAACUUCGUGCCAGCAGCCGCGGUAAUACGAAGGGACCUAGCGUAGUUCGGAAUUACUGGGCUUAAAGAGUUCGUAGGUGGUUGAAAAAGUUAGUGGUGAAAUCCCAGAGCUUAACUCUGGAACUGCCAUUAAAACUUUUCAGCUAGAGUAUGAUAGAGGAAAGCAGAAUUUCUAGUGUAGAGGUGAAAUUCGUAGAUAUUAGAAAGAAUACCAAUUGCGAAGGCAGCUUUCUGGAUCAUUACUGACACUGAGGAACGAAAGCAUGGGUAGCGAAGAGGAUUAGAUACCCUCGUAGUCCAUGCCGUAAACGAUGUGUGUUAGACGUUGGAAAUUUAUUUUCAGUGUCGCAGGGAAACCGAUAAACACACCGCCUGGGGAGUACGACCGCAAGGUUAAAACUCAAAUGAAUUGACGGGGACCCGCACAAGUAGUGGAGCAUGUGGUUUAAUUCGAAGAUACGCGCAGAACCUUACCAACACUUGACAUGUUCGUCGCGACUCUAAGAGAUUAGAGUUUUCGGUUCGGCCGGACGAAACACAGGUGCUGCAUGGCUGUCGUCAGCUCGUGUCGUGAGAUGUUGGGUUAAGUCCCGCAACGAGCGCAACCCUCACUUUUAGUUGCCAUCAUUAAGUUGGGCACUCUGAAAGAACUGCCAGUGAUAAGCUGGAGGAAGGUGGGGAUGACGUCAAGUCCUCAUGGCCCUUACGUGUUGGGCUACACACGUGCUACAAUGGUAUCUACAACAGGAAGCAAGACUGCGAAGUUAAGCAAAUCCCUAAAAGAUACCUCAGUUCGGAUUGCACUCUGCAACUCGAGUGCAUGAAGCUGGAAUUACUAGUAAUCGUGGAUCAGCGUGCCACGGUGAAAUGCGUUCCCGGGUCU
rnacentral:rRNA from 1 species